rnacentral:misc_RNA from 1 species
AUUUUUUCCUUUAACACCUUGAUUGAUGGCUAUUGCAAACAGUCAAAAUUGGCUGAUGCAAUCGAGAUUCUAAAUACAAUGUGGGAUCAUGAUGUUGUUCCAGAUGUGAUAACCUAUAACACAAUAUUGAAUGGACUUUGCAAGCUUAAAACUUCUGAUGAUGUGAUGGAAACCUUCAAAGUCAUGGUGGAAAAAGGGUGCGUCCCA